UACGGAGGGUGCAAGCGUUAUCCGGAUUCACUGGGUUUAAAGGGUGCGUAGGUGGGUUGGUAAGUCAGUGGUGAAAUCCCCGAGCUUAACUUGGGAACUGCCAUUGAUACUAUCAGUCUUGAAUACUGUGGAGGUUAGCGGAAUAUGUCAUGUAGCGGUGAAAUGCUUAGAUAUGACAUAGAACACCAAUUGCGAAGGCAGCUGGCUACACAAAUAUUGACACUGAGGCUCGAAAGCGUGGGGAUCAAACAGG
rnacentral:rRNA from 1 species